rnacentral:rRNA from 1 species
GUGGGGAAUCUUAGACAAUGGGGGAAACCCUGAUCUAGCCAUGCCGCGUGAGCGAUGAAGGCCUUAGGGUUGUAAAGCUCUUUCAGCUGGGAAGAUAAUGACGGUACCAGCAGAAGAAGCCCCGGCUAACUCCGUGCCAGCAGCCGCGGUAAUACGGAGGGGGCUAGCGUUGUUCGGAAUUACUGGGCGUAAAGCGCACGUAGGCGGAUCAGAAAGUCAGAGGUGAAAUCCCAGGGCUCAACCUUGGAACUGCCUUUGAAACUCCUGGUCUUGAGGUCGAGAGAGGUGAGUGGAAUUCCGAGUGUAGAGGUGAAAUUCGUAGAUAUUCGGAGGAACACCAGUGGCGAAGGCGGCUCACUGGCUCGAUACUGACGCUGAGGUGCGAAAGCGUGGGGAGCAAACAGGAUUAGAAACCCGAGUAGUCC